AUUGAACGCUAGCGGCAUGCCUUACACAUGCAAGUCGAACGGAGUGGCGAACGGGUGAGUAAUGUAUCGGAACGUGCCCCGUAGCGGGGGAUAACUACGCGAAAGCGUAGCUAAUACCGCAUACUAUUGGAGCGGCCGAUAUCGGAUUAGCUAUUUGGUGGGGUAACGGCCCACCAAGGCGACGAUCCGUAGCUGGUUUGAGAGUAUGACCAGCCACACUGGGACUGAGACACGGCCCAGACUCCUACGGGAGGCAGCAGUGGGGAAUUUUGGACAAUGGGGGAAACCCUGAUCCAGCCAUGCCGCGUGUGUGAAGAAGGCCUUCGGGUUGUAAAGCACUUUUAGCAGGGAAGCGGUACCUACAGAAUAAGCACCGGCUAACUCCGUGCCAGCAGCCGCGGUAAUUC
rnacentral:rRNA from 1 species